AAACCAGCACCUCAAGUGGUCAGGAUGAUUAUUGGGCCUAAAGCAUCCGUAGCCUGGUGCAUAAGUUUUCGGUUAAAUCCAUAUGCUCAACAUAUGGGCUGCCGGAAAUACUGUGCACCUAGGGAGUGGGAGAGGUAGACGGUACUCGGUAGGAAGGGGUAAAAUCCUUUGAUCUAUUGAUGACCACCUGUGGCGAAGGCGGUCUACCAGAACACGUUCGACGGUGAGGGAUGAAAGCUGGGGGAGCAAACCGGAUUAGAAACCCGAGUAGUCC
rnacentral:rRNA from 1 species